UACAAAUCUGCUACCCUACUGUGAAU
rnacentral:piRNA from 1 species